rnacentral:rRNA from 1 species
GAUGUAUAGCGAAAGCUGGUUGUAUUAACUUAUAGUUAGUGCAGCAUCGACUAUGUCGAAUAAAGUUCUAGAUAGAGUUAUGAUAAUGACAUUUUCUAUCUAUGUGUCUCGACCAAAUCACGUGCCAGCAGUCGCGGUAAUACGUGGGAGACUAGUGUUAUUCAUCUUUAAUUGGUUUAAAGGGUACCUAGACGGUUCAUCAAGCCCCUAAAGGGUACUAAUGGACUAGAGUUUUAUGAGAGGGGGGGUGUACAUGAGAGUGGAGAGAUGAAAUACUGUCAUACCUUAUUUGAUACAGGCAACAGCGAAAGCAACCUUUUAUGUAAAAACUGACGUUGAAGGACGAAGGCUUAGUAUAACCAACAGGAUUAGAUACCCCAGCAGUCUUUGCAGACAAUGAUGAAUGUCAUAGAUUGGAAUUAAGUAUUUUUUUUU